CGCCCCGUUGUGCUGGACGGCGUAGAGCGAAGUGGGAAUGACACUGUGCUCCCAGAACUCCCAGAUCAUAUUGCGGCGCCGGGGAAAGGAGUAGCAACGCCUACUCCCGUGGGAGUGAAAACCCAGAAGUCGCAAUUGAACCAGCUGUACUACGGUGCAGCGGGCGGCGUUAUUCGCGAUGGAUUUACAUCGAGGGACACUGUUGUUUUAUUUUUUAAUAAAGGAAUUGUGAAAACUG